CUGAUCGGUACAGAGAUGUAUCUUUCCUUCGGGACAGAGGAGACAGGUGGUGCAUGGUUGUCGUCAGCUCGUGUCGUGAGAUGUUGGGUUAAGUCCCGCAACGAGCGCAACCCUUAUAUUUAGUUGCCAGCACUUCGGGUGGGCACUCUAGAUAGACUGCCGGUGACAAACCGGAGGAAGGUGGGGAUGACGUCAAAUCAUCAUGCCCCUUAUGACCUGGGCUACACACGUACUACAAUGGCCGGUACAACGGGCUGCGAAAUCGCGAGAUGGAGCCAAUCCCAACAAAGCCGGUCUCAGUUCGGAUUGCAGGCUGCAACUCGCCUGCAUGAAGUCGGAAUUGCUAGUAAUCGCGGAUCAGCAUGCCGCGGUGAAUACGUUCCCGGGUCUUGUACACACCGCCCGUCACACCACGAGAGUUUAUAACACCCGAAGUCGGUGGGGUAACCGCAAGGAGCCAGCCGCCGAAGGUGGGAUAGAUGAUUGGGGUGAAGUCGUAACAAGGUAGCCGUAUCGGAAGGUGCGGCUGGAUCACCUCCUUUCUAUGGAGA
rnacentral:rRNA from 1 species